rnacentral:lncRNA from 1 species
GUUGGUGGUUGCGUUGGUGGUUGCGUUGGUGGUUGCUAACAGACAUGAGUGUGUCCUGUGAUUGUUGCUGGGGAGCUGAUUGAUCUGUGCCUCAACACAAUCCUGUCUCAGCUUUACGGACAAUUCCUUCGAUCUCUUGGCUUGGUUUUUGGUCUGACAUGCACUGUAAACUGUGGGACCUUAUAAAGACAGUCAUUGGCAGCAGAGAUCUGUAAGGAAAGGCAGCCAAAGGAGAUGUUGGCUUCGAGGAUGACCAGUGAAAUAGACCUGCUGGAGUGCGUGCUACGGGUGGGUGUUGCUAUGGUGACCAGUGAGCUGAGAUAAGGCGGAGCUUUACCUAGCGAAGACUUAUAGGUGCCCUUCUUUGCGAGGCAUUGGUGUUUGUGGUUGAAUCCAUGUUCGAAGUUCACUGCUCGACUGAGGGACCUUAAAGAUAAUUGUAUGUGUGGGGUACAGAG